rnacentral:rRNA from 1 species
UACGGGGGGGGCAAGCGUUGUUCGGAAUUACUGGGCGUAAAGGGCUCGUAGGCGGCCAACUAAGUCGGAUGUGAAAUCCCCAGGCCUAACCUGGGAACUGCAUCCGAUACUGGAUGGCUUGAAUCCGGGAGAGGGAUGCAGAAUUCCAGGUGUAGUGGUGAAAUGCGUAGAUAUCUGGAGGAACACCGGUGGCGAAGGCGGCAUCCUGGACCAAUAUUGACGCUGAGGAGCGAAAGCCAGGGGAGCAAACGGG